rnacentral:rRNA from 1 species
AUACGGAGGGUCCGAGCGUUAUCCGGAUUUAUUGGGUUUAAAGGGUGCGUAGGCGGUUUUAUAAGUCAGCGGUGAAAUUUUCCGGCUCAACCGGGAUACUGCCGUUGAUACUGGCGUGCUAGAAUAUGGUUGCUGUGAGUAGAAUGUGUGGUGUAGCGGUGAAAUGCAUAGAUAUCACACAGAAUACCGAUUGCGAAGGCAUCUCACAAAGCCAUUAUUGACGCUGAGGCACGAAAGUGUGGGGAUC